AUUUUUAAAAAUAAAAAAGAGGGAAACCCUCACCUCUCCAUAGCAAGUUUUGAAGAAACCCCCAUUCUUCCAGCCGCCACUUUCUUUUCUUCUACUGCCACUCCUCAGCCACCGCCUGCCUAAAAAUCGUCUGGCCUCUCCUUUGUGCGCGCCCUCCGCCGAACGGUCUAGUCAGCAGUCAAGCCUCCAGCCGGUCAGACCUACAUCCCGCCACUCCGUCCGCCAAGGGAUGAAGCCGAACGACGACCCAACUCAGUCGUCGCGCCUUAGCCGCCGAUUCGUUCCUCCAACCGUCUGCCCGUGCCGUUCUUCGAUUGGGCCAACGACCUUUUUCAUCUAAGGCACUGCCCAGCCCUUGCUGCCUUCGAUUGCUGCUGGUUUUAUGUUUGGGUAAGUUGUUUAACGUAUCGGUUAAUUUUAGGAUCAUCUACUUGAUUUUUGGUUGGAUGCUAGGAUUGGAGUUUGAAGGAGAUUUCGUGCGCUGUCCAGCGACUAUUGAAGUUUCUUUUGCGGAGAUUUUUGGUAAGUUUCAAGGCUUGGAGAGACUCCCUCCCCCCUUGUUGUUUGGUUUGAUGUUGAAUCUUUGUGUGUUAGUGAGGUUGUCAUUGGAUUCAAAGAACAUAUAUUUGGUCUAAGAUUAUUGAACUAUUUGAGAUUGUUGGAAUAUAGACCCUAACUAUUAUCAUUGAAUUUGUUUAUAUUGGAACUUUUGCUUGGGAGUGGUGGAACUACCUUUGGAACCAAGCCACAUUUUUUGGGUUGAUUUAAGCCUUCCAAAGGCUGUGAGAAGAUUAGUUGUGUGGAGUAGAAUUUGCGACCAAUUUUUGAGGUAAGGGUAGAGAUGCAUCGGCAAUGACGCAGUGGAAUUCGUGAUCGUGCCACUGGGACUAGUUUUUACACUUCCGCACCUUGAAAUUUGAGUCCUUAUUUUCCUCUUAAUAUUUAGUUUUACUGUUAAAAAUUUAUUUCUUAGGAUUAUUUCUUUCGUAUACUUUUGUUGGUCUUUAAGAAUUUUGGGUACCCUAUUAUUUGUUUUAACAAUUGCAUUUAAUAAAUGUCUUUUGAACUUCUCUUGUUU